UUCCUUAUAUAGUGCACUACUUUUGAUCACGAAGGAGGUUCACCCAGGGCAAGGCUUGGCCAUUACAGUCUGGCCGUGCUGACCCUUGCGAAUUCCCCAAAUGUGGAAAUCUCAACUGCAUUAUUUGUGGUAGUGGGGGACUGCUUCCACGCUCUUCCCUG